rnacentral:misc_RNA from 1 species
AAGUCGUAACAAGGUUUCCGUAGGUGAACCUGCGGAAGGAUCAUUACCGAGUUAGGGUUCUCUGGGCUCGACCUCCUACCCUUUGUCUACCUUACCAUUUGUUGCUUCGGCGGAUCCGUCCCCUCGGGGACCGCCGAGGGGUCUAGGCCCCUUGGCCCGCGUCCGCCGGUAGCCCACGACCAAAACUCUCGUUUAAACGUGUCGUCUAAGUACAAAACAAAUAAGUAAAA